UUAGCGAGUACAUCCAAACCUUUUGCGCAUUUGAUUUUCAGAUUCUCAAAUUUGUUGGUUUACAGGGGUCUUAAAUGGAAAUUAUUUUCUCUAUUAGUAUACUCUACAGUAUGUGUAUUUUCUUUCUGUCUAGAACCUUAUUCAGUUACACUUCAUUUUACCGAAACGGUUAGAAGGCAUGGAAUUUUAAUUGCCAUCAUCCAUAUUUUAUUAAUCUCUGGUAAUUGGAUUCAUUAAAUUGGGAAUUAUGCGGUAAUUAGGACGGAUUGAUCUGUGAAUCAAAAAUGAAUCUUAAGAAUCGCUGAACCGAACUCGACUUAUCUUAACAAGUGCUGUGGACCUACUGUUCGAAACUACCGAUUGUGUAACACAUGUGCAACAAAGUACAUUUCGGAUGACUCCCAGGAAGUCAUGAAUUAUAUGAAAGCUUCUAUUCCUUAACUCGUAAAUAACACCCUUGUCGGUUAAAGAAUAGACCCUUAAUAUUUAAACUACUUGUCGGUUCAGCGUUUUAUGCACAUUUGUGCAACGUAAUUACUAGAAGUUAAUACCGGAAAUUUCGUCCGCUACAGAUCCAUAGAUCUCCGUAGGGAGAAUAUAAUUUGCGUUCUAUCUCGUUAUCGUUUCGGCUGAUAUUUGUCAUAUUACAGUUUCUAUUGACGAUUGUUGCAUUAGUAGCCCUUUUAUUUAAGAGGGUUUUAAAUGUAGGGUUCCAGUAAAUCUACUUUUAAUUGAUCAGCAACAUAUUUUCCUUCCCGGUUUAGAGAUAGUUAAAUGAUAAACAGUGGAGAGCAAUUAAAGGUAGUGCUAAGCGAGGUUUAAAAAAAGGGAAAGAACUCAAGAUUAAAUCGGGGAAACAGCAGUAAAACAACAUUCCAAAGAAUAUAAGUAAAAAUUAAUAAUAACAAGGCCGAUCCAGCAGUUAAAAUUAAUGGAAAACGUUGUGGUAGAGUAGGCAACACAACAUACAGAGGAGGUACAGUGGGUUGCAAAACCGUUAGCUGUGGGGAGACAGUAGGUACAAAAAAGGAGACGAAUUAGUAAGGCAAACUCACUGAUAGAUGGAAUACGUAAAGAGCCCAGAAGCAAUAUAAGAAGAGAGUGGGGAAGUACAAAAGGAGGUAAGACAACUAGGGAAGAAUAAAAACAAUACAGGAAUGGCGUAAAAGAGCUCAAAAUGGAGAAAAGGUACUCUCAACUUCUUCUCCUCUAUCCUUUUCUUCAUUUCUCCAACAUUGUUC